GUUUUUUUGGCAUCGCCUCCGACCGCUGGUUCCCAGUGCUAUGCCUGCCGCGGUCCGGCCCGCUCGCUUGGUUCGGUCCCGCGCCGCAGCUCCGCCGUAGCCGAUGCUGCCUCGGUUGAUGGUGUCUACAUCAGUAGCCCACUGUCCCACCACCAACCCCGUGUCUUCUGUCUGCUAACACUAUCAGUCGCCCUUUCCUUCGAGGUGCGUUACGCUGCAACUGACGCCUCUUACG